GCCAGCAUGACGUAGUGGUUUGAGUGUUGGACUACAACUCUGGAGACCAGAGUUCGAAUCCCAGCUCAGCCA